AGUGAACGCUGGCGGCAGGCCUAACACAUGCAAGUCGAACGGCAGCACAAGAGAGCUUGCUCUAUGGGUGGCGAGUGGCGGACGGGUGAGGAAUGCAUCGGAAUCUGCCCAUUUGUGGGGGAUAACCUCGGGAAACCGGGACUAAUACCGCAUACGACCUACGGGUGAAAGCAGGGGAUCUUCGGACCUUGCGCAGAUGGAUGAGCCGAUGCCGGAUUAGCUAGUUGGAGGGGUAAAGGCCCACCAAGGCGACGAUCCGUAGCUGGUCUGAGAGGAUGAUCAGCCACACUGGGACUGAGACACGGCCCAGACUCCUACGGGAGGCAGCAGUGGGGAAUAUUGGACAAUGGGCGCAAGCCUGAUCCAGCCAUGCCGCGUGUGUGAAGAAGGCCUUCGGGUUGUAAAGCACUUUUGUUGGGAAAGAAAAGCAGCCGGUUAAUACCCGGUUGUCAUGACGGUACCCAAAGAAUAAGCACCGGCUAACUUCGUG
rnacentral:rRNA from 1 species